GUCUAUAGCCAUGCCACCUUGAACAAGCCCGAUGUCUGAUCUCGGAAGCUAAGCAGGGUUGGGCCUGGUGAAUAUUUCAAUGGGAGACCACCUAGGAAGACCAAGUGCUGUAGACA
rnacentral:rRNA from 1 species